CACUAAAGAAAAGGCAAAAACCUACUCUCUACUAAGAAAGAUCCAGCAGUAACAAAGGUGGCAAAAGUAACAACAACCUCACGUAAAGAAGAGAAAGCUAUAAAGGAAGUGAAGCCCAAAGCAGAGGUCAAGAAAAAGGCCGCAUCAACACCAAAAGCCAAACAAGCUAUUAAAGUUGUGGGAAAACCUGUUCCAGAUGAGAAGAAAACGGCAGAAGAAACAAAAGAGAAAGCAGCCGAGGCACCAGCACCAG